rnacentral:rRNA from 1 species
AGAACGAGCCAACGAGUUACGGUAUGUAGCAAGGUUAAGUACUUAAGGUACGGAGCCGAAGGGAAACCGAGUCUGAAUAGGGCGACUAGUUGCAUGCCGUAGACCCGAAACCGGGUGACCUAUCCAUGGCCAGGUUGAAGCGAGGGUAAAACCUCGUGGAGGACCGAACCACGUUGCUGUUGAAAAAGCAUGGGAUGAGCUGUGGAUAGCGGAGAAAUUCCAAUCGAACCCGGAGAUAGCUGGUUCUCUCCGAAAUAGCUUUAGGGCUAGCGUCGAGUAUGAGUAGUGGAGGUAGAGCACUGAAUGGGCUAGGGGGCAUAGCGCUUACCGAACCUUAUCAAACUCCGAAUGCCACAUACUUUGAGCUCGGCAGUCAGACUACGAAUGAUAAGAUCCGUGGUCAAAAGGGAAACAGCCCAGAUCGUCAGCUAAGGUCCCAAAGUGUAAGUUAAGUGGGAAAGGAUGUGAGAUUUCUAAGACAACUAGGAUGUUGGCUUAGAAGCAGCCAUUCAUUAAAAGAGUGCGUAAUAGCUCACUAGUCGAGAGAUCUUGCGCCGAAAAUGUAACGGGGCUAAACUUACCACCGAAGCUACGGGCUUGAACUUAGUUCAAGCGGUAGGAGAGCGUCGUAACCGGGCUGAAGUCGUACCGUAAGGAGCGGUGGACUGGUUACGAGUGAGAAUGUUGGCAUCAGUAGCGAGAUGUGGGUGAGAAUCCCACAGGCCGAAAACCUAAGGUUUCCUCAGGAAGGUUCGUCCGCUGAGGGUUAGUCGGGACCUAAGCCGAGGCCGAAAGGCGUAGGUGAUGGACAACUGGUUGAUAUUCCAGUACCACUACCAUCGUUAUUAUCGAUGGCGUGACGCAGGAGGAUAGUGUGUGCUAGCUAUUGGAUGCUAGUCUAAGCGUUUAGGCAGUGAGAGUAGGCA